CUUCGGCCCGAGUUGUAAUUUGCAGAGGAAGUAUUUGGCGCGGUGCCUUCCGAGUUCCCUGGAACGGGACGCCAUAGAGGGUGAGAGCCCCGUCUGGUUGGACACCAAGCCUGUGUAAUACUCCUUCGACGAGUCGAGUAGUUUGGGAAUGCUGCUCUAAAUGGGAGGUAAAUCUCUUCUAAAGCUAAAUACCGGCCAGAGACCGAUAGCGCACAAGUAGAGUGAUCGAAAGAUGAAAAGCACCUUGAAAAGGGGGUUAAACAGUACGUGAAAUUGUUGAAAGGGAAGCGUUUAUGACCAGACUUGUGCCGUGUGGCUCAUCCGGGGUUCUCCCCGGUGCACUCCACACGGUUCAGGCCAACAUCGGUUCUCGUUGGGGGAUAAGAACAGUAGGAACGUGGCCCUCUUCGGAGGGUGUUAUAGCCUAUUGUACGAUACCUUGAUGGGGACCGAGGACCGCGCUUCGGCUAGGAUGUUGGCGUAAUGGUCAUUAGCGACCCGUCUUGAAACACGGACCAAGGAGUCGUCCAUUAGAGCGAGCGUUUGGGUGUAAAACCCGCACGCGUAAUGAAAGUGAAAUUAGGUGAGAGCUUCGGCGCAUCAUCGACCGAUCCUGAAGUUUACGGACGGAUUUGAGUAAGAGUUUUAACGGACGGACCCGAAAGACAGUGAACUAUACUUGAAUAGGGUGAAGCCAGAGGAAACUCUGGUGGAGGCUCGCAGCGGUUCUGACGUGCAAAUCGAUCGUCAAAUUUGAGUAUGGGGGCGAAAGACUAAUCGAACUGUCUAGUAGCUGGUUACCGCCGAAGUUUCCCUCAGGAUAGCAGUGUUGACCUUCAGUUUUAUGAGGUAAAGCGAAUGAUUAGGGACUCGGGGGCGCUUAUUAGCCUUCAUCCAUUCUCAAACUUUAAAUAUGUAAGAAGCCCUUGUUACUUAAUUGAACGUGGGCAUUCGAAUGUACCAACACUAGUGGGCCAUUUUUGGUAAGCAGAACUGGCGAUGCGGGAUGAACCGAACGGGGGGUUAAGGCGCCAGAAUGUACGCUCAUCAGACACCACAAAAGGCGUUAGUACAUCUUGACAGCAGGACGGUGGCCAUGGAAGUCGGAAUCCGCUAAGGACUGUGUAACAACUCACCUGCCGAAUGUACU
rnacentral:rRNA from 1 species